AUCAGCUCCAGCAUAGUUCUCUGGACUUCAUUAUCUCCUCCGGCUCCAUCAUCAAAACGGGCACCUAUAAGAGGGCAGUGUAAGCAUGCUUUCUUCUGAAUAGAAAAAGCACUUACCUCUCCAACAUACUUCUGAACAAGCUCGGAUCCGAUGACUCUUAUGAAGCAGGCAUCAGUGCGGUUAGCCACAGCUCGAGCACACAAGGUUUUCCCCGUACCGGG